GGGGGGUUGCGUCAUCUCGAGAUUUGAGUGGUGGUCUUCCCCACCCCGGUGGUCUUUCAGUUUGUAGUUCAGUUCUAAAGACAAUUCUAGAGAGGGUUUAGUAUUUGAAAACCUGUUAUAAAUUUAAUCAGAAGACCAGGAAAACACACGUCUCUAAAGAAAAAUAUCUGCUGUGCCUCUGUCAUCUGUUAGUUGCAGUAUAUAAUCAGGAGAUAUGUGCCUGGAAAUAUAAACUCAAGCUACUGAAUAUGUGGCUGUAGAUCAUAGGAGUUAAAUUUCAUCUCAUGAUAUCACUAUUCAAGUACUAAUGCUAAGCUAAGAAGACAUGAAGAUUAUUUUUUCUUAGGAUGAUUUCAACUUGGAGUGCUGUGAGGACAAGUCAUCUGGAGAAUAUCCUACAUUGUACUGUUGUGUCCGCAACACAUGUCUUUCGUUUGCUCAUCCCUAUACUCUAAAGACUCCCACCAACAAAACAUUCUACUUAAUUUGUUAUGAAAAUUCAUUCGUGUUUUUUGUGUCUUAAGUAUAAAGGAAGCUUAUAGUAAAACUCUAUAGAGUUUUCA